GGUAGAGUAGACCUAAGGAAGGUUAUUGGGUUCAUGGUUCAAGGUAGUAGGUUCGAUUCCUAUCUUUACCA
rnacentral:tRNA from 1 species